UACGUAGGGUCCGAGCGUUGUCCGGAUUUAUUGGGCGUAAAGAGCUCGUAGGCGGCUCAGUAAGUCAGAUGUGAAAACUCAGAGCUCAACCCGGAGACGCCAUCUGAUACUGCUGUGGCUUGAGUCUGGUAGGGGAUCACGGAAUUCCUGGUGUAGCGGUGAAAUGCGCAGAUAUCAGGAGGAACACCGAUGGCGAAGGCAGUGAUCUGGGCCAGUACUGACGCUGAGGAGCGAAAGCGUGGGUAGCAAACAGG
rnacentral:rRNA from 1 species